rnacentral:rRNA from 1 species
CCCUUAGAUGUUCUGGGCCGCACGCGCGCUACACUGAUGCAUUCAACGAGCCUAUCCUUGACCGACAGGUCCGGGUAAUCUUUGAAUCUGCAUCGUGACGGGGAUAGAUUAUUGCAAUUAUUAAUCUUCAACGAGGAAUGCCUAGUAGGCGCAAGUCAUCAGCUUGCGUCGAUUACGUCCCUGCCCUUUGUACACACCGCCCGUCGCUCCUACCGAUUGGGUAUGCUGGUGAAAUGUUCGGAUCGGCCGUUUGUCGCGGUUUCCGCGGCUCGUGGCUGAGAAGUUCAUUAAACCCUCCCACCUAGAGGAAGGAGAAGUCGUAACA